rnacentral:snRNA from 13 species
CUACUUAUCCAACAGGGGAUACAGAGAGAUCAAAAACGUGGUCUUCCUGGGUAUGGCUUCUUCUCUGCAUUUCAGGUAUGCUGACUCUUGCAAUUUCCCCAAAUGUGGAGAAGCUGACUGCAUAAUUUGUGGUAAAAAAAAUGUAUUUACAUCUUUAAA